GGAUGCGAUCAUACCAGCACUAAAGCAUCGGAUCCCACCAGAACUCCGAAGUUAAGCGUGCUUGGGCGAGAGUAGUACUAGGAUGGGUGACCUCCUGGGAAGUCCUCGUGUUGCAUUCC
rnacentral:rRNA from 1 species